UACGUAGGGUGCAAGCGUUAAUCGGAAUUACUGGGCGUAAAGCGUGCGCAGGCGGCUUUGCAAGACAGAUGUGAAAUCCCCGGGCUUAACCUGGGAACUGCGUCUGAUACUGGGAGGCUUGAGUAUGGGAGAGGGAUGUAGAAUUCCAGGUGUAGCGGUGAAAUGCGUAGAUAUCUGGAGGAAUACCGGUGGCGAAGGCGGCAUCCUGGACCAUAACUGACGCUGAGGCGCGAAAGCUAGGGGAGCAAACGGG
rnacentral:rRNA from 1 species